GGCUUUUCACCGAACUCUUAUCCUCUUUAAAAAAUUGGAAAGACAAAUUCUUUAUACUUAAGAGCAAAAAUCCACGUGGCUUCAAAGGUGUUCCAAGGAGCUAGAACCAUUUGGCCGAGAGACCUUAGGGAGAGAUCGUUAUGAAUCUAGAUGAGGAUGUAGUGUUAUUGGAAUUGAAAAGUCAAGGCAACACCUACCAGUAU
rnacentral:misc_RNA from 1 species